rnacentral:rRNA from 1 species
CCUACGGGAGGCAGCAGUAGGGAAUAUUGCUCAAUGGGGGAAACCCUGAUGCAGCAACGCCGCGUGGAUGAUGAAGGUUUUAGGAUUGUAAACUCCUUUUGUUAGAGAAGAUUAUGAUGGUAUCUAUCGCAUAAGCACCGGCUAACUCCCUGCCAGCAGCCGCGGUAAUACGGCGGGUGCAAGCGUUACUCGGAAUGACUGGGCGUAAAGGUUGCGUAGGCGGGUUAAUAAGUCAGAUGUGAAAUCCAGUGGCUUAACUACAGAACUGCAUUUGAAACUGUUACUCUGGAGUGUGGGAGAGGGAGGUGGAAUUCUUGGUGUAGGGGUAAAAUGCGUAGAGAUCAAGAGGAAUACUCAUGGCGAAGGCGACCUGCUGGAACAUUACUGACGCUGAGGUACGAAAGCGUGGGGAGCAAACAGGAUUAGAUACCCCGGUAGUC